CGCUGCUGAAACACCAAGUCCGUGAGUCAGGCCCAAGGUAUGCCAGGAGCGCGUCCGCUUCGGGAGUAACUGGCGGUGCAACGGAAGAGGCAAGAAAAGAGAGAAAGAGAGAGAGAUGUGAGUCGAGUCGUUGCCCGCGAGAACUUCUCCUCCCUCGAUCAGGAGUCGGGGUCGAGGUGAACUUCUAUCGUGCGAUCCUUUUUGCAUACAUAUAGACUUACGUCGCUGAUCUUGAGAGAUAAGAAUGCGUGAUGAAAGUAACACUUAAUAUUCCGAUUUCAAUUUUGAAACUGUUCAAGCAUAGUUCCUCCUGAUUCUUAUGGCUUCUUUUUGCAAUGCUGAUAUAAACUGACAAGAGUCGAUUAUAUGUUAACAAGAUAAAAUAAUUACAUAGAAGAGUAGCGAAAUUUCCCGAUUUCUCAGCAGAAACCUGAUACUAAUAAUUAAUAACAAGGUCUAAAAAUAAAUUUACGUAGAAAACCAAUUUCUAAGAAAUAUUCUCUAGGUUCUUCGUCAUCUGGAUAAUUAUUGACAAAUUAUUAAACUGCAAGUUUUAAGCAAAGCUUACAGAAAAUUUAAGCUGAGCAGCCGCUCCUUUCAAAUAAAACAAAGAAAAUCUCAAUCUUUCAUUCUCUUCUUGCACAACGUCAUCUGCCGAUAUCGACUGGUAAAUGGCUCGAUCAAUGAGAGACGCGAAGUAAAAGCAAAGCGUGAGAACUGCGGCAGAGAAGUCACGGUACAGUGAAUACCGAGCCCGCGAGAGAAUCGUCGAAGGAGAGAACAAUCCGCAUAGAUGAAUAAUUAUUUACGAUGCCUGCGCGUUGUUACAUGAUUGGGAAUUAUUUACUCUCUUAUCUCAAUCUUUCGCGUGAGUCACGUGGUUACAUUAAGCAUCUAAACUUUGAAGAUUUCAUCUAAUUAACAUAAGCUGAGGCAGGUAUGUAAUUCUUCGUGCAUGUGUACGCGUGAAUUCUUGGUGCAUUAAAAAUGUAAAUGUGUCUUAUCGAGAUUGCAAUGCACUAUAUUUAUUUCGUUUUGAAGGAUAUUAAUCAGUCAGAAAGAAACAAAGCGAUUCUUUACCGUUUAACGCGAAACCGCUAUCGGUGAAUCAGCAAGAAAGAAUUUCGCUAGAUAGAAUGACGAUGAGCACGAUUAAAGGUCGGAUAUGCAAAAUAUUCCGCAGUUUUAAUUCUAAUUUUAAUUAUAAUUUAGAGUUUGCUUGAAAAUCUUUCAGCAAAACUUUAAAUUUGCG